rnacentral:rRNA from 1 species
ACUCAAAGGAAUAGACGGGGGCCCGCACAAGCGGCGGAGCGUGCGGUUUAAUUCGACGCAACGCGCAGAACCUUACCAGGGCUUGACAUGCACCUGCAGAGCGGCGAAAGCCGAUGUCCUUCGAGGGUGGUGCACAGGUGCUGCAUGGCUGUCGUCAGCUCGUGUCGUGAGAUGUUGGGUUAAGUCCCGCAACGAGCGCAACCCUCGCGACCAGUUACGUGGGUGUCUGGUCGGACUGCCGGUAGCAAGCCGGAGGAAGGCGGGGAUGACGUCAAGUCAGCAUGGCCCUUACGUCCUGGGCUACACGCACGCUACAAUGGGUGGGACAACGGGUAGCCAAACCGCGAGGUGGAGCGAAUCCCCUAAACUCAUCCUCAGUUCAGAUUGUGGGCUGCAACUCGCCCGCAUGAAGUCGGAGUCGCUAGUAACCGCCGGUCAGCAAUACGGCGGUGAAUACGUUCCCGGGCCUUGUACACACCGCCCGU